rnacentral:lncRNA from 1 species
AGCUCAGUGUCACAGACCUUUGUGGAAGCAACAACAGCUCCCAUCCUUCCAACCUUUCUGGAGAAGCCGUGGCCUGAUGGUGAGCCGAAUGGGCUGGGGGGGGAGAAGAAGGCGGCUGGGGCGGUGGGGAGAUCUGGGGCCCGGAUCGGUGCCCCUCCUCCCCAUGCCACUGCCACCUCCUCCUCCUCCUUCAUGCCGGGGACCUGGGGGAGGGAGGAUCUCCAUCUUCUCUCUGUCCCCUGCCCCUCAUACAAGAAGCUCCCCCUCCUCAUUUUCCCCUCCCACCGCAGGGCCCCCUUGCUCAGUGCUACAGGGGACAGGGGCUUCUCAGUCUUGCCACAGUGCUCUCCCUAUCCCAGCCACCCCCCCAACACAGGCUCAACCUGCAAUGACACCUGCCUCUGCAUCUCCCUCCUGGGGAUCCCACUCCACCCCACCCCUGGCCCCGGCAACCCCCACUCCCUCACAGCAGUGCCCCCAGGACUCUCCUGGGCUGCGGGUAGGCCCUUUGAUCCCUGAACAGGAUUAUGAGCGGCUGGAGGACUGUGACCCUGAGGGGUCCCAAGACUCACCCAUCCACGGGGAGGAGCAGCAACCCCUGCUUCAUGUCCCUGAAGGGCUCCGAGGCUCCUGGCAUCACAUCCAGAACCUGGACAGUUUCUUCACCAAGAUCUACAGCUACCACCAGCGGAAUGGCUUUGCCUGCAUCUUGCUGGAGGAUGUCUUCCAGCUGGGACAAUUUAUUUUCAUUGUCACCUUCACAACCUUCCUCCUUCGAUGCGUGGAUUACAAUGUUCUCUUUGCCAACCAACCAAGUAACCAUACCAGACCUGGGCCGUUCCACAGCAAAGUGACCCUGUCAGAUGCCAUCCUACCCUCAGCCCAGUGUGCUGAGAGGAUCCGCUCCAGCCCGCUGCUGGUCCUCCUCCUGGUCCUGGCUGCCGGCUUCUGGCUGGUCCAACUGCUUCGCUCAGUCUGCAACCUCUUCAGCUACUGGGACAUCCAGGUGUUUUACAGGGAGGCCCUGCACAUCCCCCCGGAGGAGCUGAGCUCGGUUCCCUGGGCAGAGGUGCAGUCCCGCCUCUUGGCACUGCAGCGGAGCGGGGGCCUGUGCGUGCAGCCGCGGCCCCUGACGGAGCUGGACAUCCACCACCGCAUCCUGCGCUACACCAACUACCAGGUGGCGCUGGCCAACAAAGGCCUGCUGCCGGCCCGCUGCCCGCUGCCCUGGGGAGGCAGUGCGGCUUUCCUCAGCCGCGGCCUGGCGCUCAAUGUCGACCUGCUGCUCUUCCGCGGUCCCUUCUCGCUCUUCCGCGGGGGCUGGGAGCUGCCGCACGCCUACAAGCGCAGCGACCAGCGGGGCGCCCUAGCAGCGCGCUGGGGGCGCACAGUGCUGCUGCUGGCCGCCCUGAACCUGGCGCUGAGCCCGCUGGUGCUGGCCUGGCAGGUUCUGCACGUCUUCUAUAGCCACGUGGAGCUGCUGCGGCGCGAGCCUGGCGCGCUGGGGGCGCGCGGCUGGUCCCGCCUGGCGCGCUUGCAGCUGCGCCACUUCAACGAGCUGCCGCACGAGCUGCGCGCGCGCCUGGCCCGCGCCUACCGCCCCGCCGCCGCCUUCCUGCGCACCGCUGCGCCCCCCGCGCCCCUGCGCACGCUGCUGGCCCGCCAGCUCGUUUUCUUCGCGGGUGCACUCUUCGCCGCGCUGCUUGUGCUCACCGUCUACGACGAGGACGUGCUAGCCGUGGAGCACGUGCUCACCGCCAUGACCGCGCUCGGGGUCACCGCCACCGUCGCCAGGUCUUUCAUUCCGGAAGAGCAGUGCCAGGGUCGUGCGCCGCAGCUCCUGCUGCAGACAGCCCUGGCCCACAUGCACUACCUCCCGGAGGAGCCCGGCCCCGGCGGCAGGGACCGCGCCUACCGGCAGAUGGCGCAGCUGCUGCAGUACCGAGCGGUCUCCCUCCUGGAGGAGCUCCUGUCCCCGCUCCUCACCCCGCUGUUUCUGCUUUUCUGGUUCCGCCCUCGUGCCCUGGAGAUUAUCGACUUUUUUCAUCACUUCACUGUGGAUGUGGCUGGGGUUGGGGACAUCUGUUCCUUUGCCCUUAUGGAUGUGAAGCGCCACGGACACCCUCAGUGGCUCUCGGCGGGACAGACUGAGGCCUCGCUGUCUCAGCGUGCGGAGGACGGCAAGACUGAGCUUUCUUUGAUGCGGUUCUCCCUGGCGCAUCCACUCUGGCGCCCCCCAGGGCACAGCUCUAAGUUUCUUGGGCACCUCUGGGGCCGAGUACAACAAGAUGCAGCUGCCUGGGGUGCCACCUCGGCUCGCGGCCCCUCCACCCCGGGGGUGCUCAGCAACUGCACCUCGCCCCUGCCUGAGUUCCUGGCCAACCUCUUCGUGCACCCUCUCCUGCCUCCGAGAGAUCUGAGCCCGACAGCCCCCUGUCCAGCUGCGGCCACAGCCAGCCUCCUUGCCUCCAUUUCCCGAAUUGCCCAGGACCCCAGCUCUGUGUCCCCAGGAGGCACUGGGGGCCAGAAGCUGGCCCAGCUCCCAGAACUUGCUUCUGCCGAGAUGAGUCUCCAUGUCAUCUACCUGCACCAGCUUCACCAGCAGCAGCAGCAGCAGGAGCCGUGGGGUGAGGCUGCAGCCUCCAUCCUGUCCAGGCCCUGCUCCAGCCCCUCACAGCCACCCUCGCCUGAUGAGGAGAAGCCAUCCUGGUCAAGUGACGGCUCCAGUCCUGCCUCUAGCCCCAGACAACAGUGGGGAACCCAGAAGGCCCGGAAUCUGUUCCCCGGAGGGUUUCAGGUGACCACAGACACCCAGAAGGAGCCUGACCGGGCCUCUUGCACUGACUGAGACGACUCCUCAGGGCCCCACUCCUGGCAGCUGAGUGCUGCACCUGCCUUCUCGAUCACGAGCCUGAGAACUGCACGGGGGAGCAGCCCAGACUGGCUGGAAACCAUGUUUUCAGAGUGCAGGGUCAAGUGGCGUCCUCUGGACAGAUGUGAGAAGGCACCACCUCAAGAGGGGAGGAGCGGGGCUGAUCCUGGUCGGGCGGACCUGAGUCGGGCAGCCGCUCUCCCGGAACUGGAAGGGAAAGCCAGGCGGCUCUCAGGGGCUGUUGGUGUCUGAGCCGGGAGGGUCGAACGCCCAGGGCACUGCGCCCCGCAACUGACGCUCCUGCAAGGAAAAGCUCUGGCACGCCGAUGACGUCGCCGGCCUCGUCCAGCUCCAUGUCGCCCUCCGUCGCCAGGAUGCGCUGCACGGUCUGCAGGACGUUGGUUGCCAUGGUAACAUCGCCGCAGACAAACAUGUGGCCCCGCUCGAGGCACAGCACGCGGUGCACCUCCGCAGCCAGCUCCGUCCUCAGGAUGUCCUGCACGUUACCAUUGCGCCCUCAGGGUCUCACACCUUGGGGUUGUCAGGUUCCCGGGAGAAGGCGGUGAGGACUCGGCCAAACACCCCGCGCUGCUGGGCGUUCUGCACCUCGUCGCGGUAGAGAUGGUCAAGUUGGGAGCAUCGGCAGCCGAACACCAAAGUCAUGGGAGUGGGCUGCAGCCCUGCAAGCAACCCCGCGCUUGGGAAGGCUCUUCUCCGGGGCACAGUGCUAGUGGGGCCUCCCCACAGGCCACCGUCGCCCAGCCUGGCAGCCCAGCGUUUUGGGCUGAAACCACCAUUACUUUGGCUGUUUCAUCUCUAAGAGAGUGUAGAAUGCUUUCACAGAGACCCUGCACAGCCCUGAUUUACAGAGGGAAGGGAAGCGCGGGUGAGGUGGUGGCCCCUGGUGGAGCUGCGCUAGAAUGCGCGGCUUCGGACUCAGAAUUCCAUGCCCUUUGCAUUGUGUGACAUCGCAGUCCCCUUCCCCGCUCCCACUUCAUAUUCUCCCAUACUUAUAACUCUCCUCCCAGUCACAGCCCUCUUCUUUUGAUUGACAGACCACCCUGGGCACCCCAUGCUCAAUAUGAACACCUUGUAGCAUCCUUAGGUCUUGGACAGACCUCGGUCAGCUCUGGCACAGUCAAGAAUCCACCUUGGGCAGUUCUUCUUUGAGUCUUAGCCCUAAUCCCUUUGAAAAUUCUAUUUUCCUUUGUCCUCAAUCCAGUCAACACCUACUAUGUACCAGGCACCAGGAAGCCAGAAGCUCAGGGCCCAGCCCUUGCCUUUGGUACCUGCCCUCCCCUUGGUCUCAUGAGCGUCUUUUCAGCUUUGUGGACUUUGUUUCCUGCCCUCUCUUUCCUAUUUCCUGCCUUCCAGCCCCACCCCUCUGUCCCUAGAUUGUGUGACUCCCUUCAGGCAGUCCUUUAGUCCCCAGCCUCACCUUUGCUCUCAAUGUCAUGCAGCCGCUCCUGCCAGAAUCCCCGGAAGGGGGCAAUGCCAGUGCCUGGACCCACCAGGAUGCAGGGCAAGCUGGGAUCGGGUGGCAGCCGGAAGGAGGGAGCCCUGGCAGGAGAGACACUCCAUCAGGUCCCCUUUGCCUUUCCUGCUCCACCAUUCUCACCAUGCAGGGUGGGUGGAGCAAGGAGGACCCAAGUUCUUCCCAUCUC